rnacentral:rRNA from 1 species
AUUGAACGCUGGCGGCAUGCCUUACACAUGCAAGUCGAACGGUAACGGGCCUUCGGGUGCCGACGAGAGGCGAACGGGUGAGUAAUGUAUCGGAACGUACCUUUCAGUGGGGGAUAACGUAGCGCAAGUUACGCUAAUACCGCAUAUUCUGUGAGCAGGAAAGCAGGGGAUCGCAAGACCUUGCGCUGUCUGAGCGGCAGAUAUCAGAUUAGCUAGUUGGUGAGGUAAAGGCUCACCAAGGCGACGAUCCGUAGCAGGUCUGAGAGGAUGAUCCGCCACACGGGAACUGAGACACGGUCCAGACUCGUACGGGAGGCAGCAGUGGGGAAUUUUGGACAAUGGGGGCAACCCUGAUCCAGCCAUGCCGCGUGAGUGAAGAAGGCCUUCGGGUUGUAAAGCUCUUUCGGCCGGGAAGAAAUCGUAUCAGCUAAUACCUGGUGCGGAUGACGGUACCGGCAUAAGAAGCACCGGCUAACUACGUGCCAGCAGCCGCCGUAACAC